UCCACCCAAGCUAACAUGGGAGCUGUUGCCC
rnacentral:piRNA from 1 species